rnacentral:misc_RNA from 1 species
ACCGAUGAUGGGGAUUACAACAUCAAGCUGCGCAACUUGACCCGUUUCCUGGAUGAAGACGGCGACAAGGUCAAGAUCACGCUGCGUUUCCGCGGCCGUGAAAUGGCUCACCAGGACAUCGGCGUACGCAUGCUGGAACGUCUGAAGCAAGACCUGGAGCCGUACGGACAGGUCGAGCAGUGGCCUAAGAUGGAAGGGCGCCAGAUGAUCAUGAUCAUUGGCCCCAAGAAGAAAAAGUAAUUCGAUUUUAGGCGAGCUGGAUGAGCAAUCGUCCGGAUCGCCCAAAAGCAGCAGGCCAGAUUCUGCUGCGAAAUUCAGUUGCGGU